AUGGGUUGCGAAGUCGCGAGGCGGAGCUAAUCCCCAAAAGCCAUCUCAGUUCGGAUUGCACUCUGCAACUCGAGUGCAUGAAGUCGGAAUCGCUAGUAAUCGCGGAUCAGCAUGCCGCGGUGAAUACGUUCUCGGGCCUUGUACACACCGCCCGUCACACCAUGGGAGUUGGUUUUGCCUGAAGACGGUGUGCUAACCGCAAGGAGGCAGCCGGCCACGGUAGGGUCAGCGACUGGGGUGAAGUCGUAACAAGGUAGCCGUAGGGGAACCUGCGGCUGGAUCACCU
rnacentral:rRNA from 1 species